UCUAUCAAAUUCUCACUACCUAACAAUUGAACUCUUUGUCGCAAAAAAAAACAAUUGAACUCUGUCUAGCUAUAUUUUUUUUUAUCUUUGUUGUUUUCAACACCAAAAAGUACUCAAAAUUGACAUAAAAGACAAAAACCAUAAAUAAAGAAAGUAUUGAAAAAGUUGCAUUAGUUCAAAAAAAAAAAAGCUGCAUUACUUCAAAAAAAAAAAAAGCUGCAUUAGUUCAAAAAAAAAAAGUUGCAUUAGUUUAGAAAAAAAACACCAAAGAUCCUGCUUCUUCGUCGUCUUCUAAUAAGAAAGCUUUUUCACUCCUAUACGUUAAAGAUAGCAACGUCUCUUCCUCUGCCACAAAUACCUCAACACAUGCGACAUAAACCACAGCCACCGACAAAACGAUCGCCGACAUAAAGACCAUGACUAUAAGGGUAAGUCUCCUUUUCAUCAUCAGAUUCCUCGUUAUUAUCAUCACCAGUGCUCUCCAUUAAACGAGUCUUGGCAUCCAAUUUAGUUUUUUUCUUACAAGGUUCCUUAUCAGAAGAUGAUUCAUCAUCAGACGAAUUGCUCUUUGUCUCGGCUUUUAGAGAACCAGUUUUACCAGCGGUAGAAACUUCAUUGUUCGGACUGAUCAACAAAAUCCAUCCUUUCUUCGAUCUUUUGAAGACGAUCAGCCAAUCCUUCUAUCAUCUCCUUCGUAUCAGACGGUUCCUUCUCAUUCACGUUUUUCUUAUUUUUCUCCAAAUUAUCUACCAUGCCUCUCAUAACUUUCUUCAAAGGCUUCGUGGCCUCGUUCACAGCAAUGAUAGAAUAUGAAUAAUAUUCCUCUUAAUAUUCUUUGCAGUAGUUAAGCUACGAAUGUAUAUAGGGAGAUCCCUUAAUUCUUGGAACUGAUUGUACUAUAUAUUAACG
rnacentral:lncRNA from 1 species